rnacentral:rRNA from 1 species
UGGCGAGUGGCGAACGGGUGAGUAAUGCAUCGGAACGUACCCAGUGGUGGGGGACAACCCCCGAGAAAUCGGGGUUAAUACCGCAUACGCUCGGGAGAGGAAAGCGGGGGACCUGGUGACGGGCCUCCGCGCCAUUGGAGCGGCCGAUGUCGGAUUAGCUGGUUGGUGGGGUAAUGGCCCACCAAGGCGACGAUCCGUAGCUGGUCUGAGAGGACGGCCAGCCACACUGGGACUGAGACACGGCCCAGACUCCUACGGGAGGCAGCAGUGAGGAAUUUUGGACAAUGGGGGCAACCCUGAUCCAGCCAUGCCGCGUGGGUGAAGAAGGCCUUCGGGUUGUAAAGCCCUUUCGGCGGGGACGAAAUCGCGGGGGUGAGAAGCCUUCGUGGAUGACGGUACUCGCAGAAGAAGCACCGGCUAACUACGUG